UGCUUUGCUGCCGCGCGCCUUUAAAUGACUGUCAAGUAGGCAAAUAUCAAAUAGCAUGAGGUCAAGCCAAUUUGGGAACGCUUUUUUUUCUUCAGCCCCCUCGCUCUGCUUAUCACUCUGCCCUCAUUCUUACUGGCUGGGUACUGUGUGCAUGGCAUGGUGGAAUGCGGGUAGUUGAACAGUAGGCUGGGGAGGACAGCAUUCACUCAAUGUGCUACACUCAUAACCUUUCCAUUUGUGAAUAUGAGCCAUGCAGAAGAAUAACUAGCUGUUAUGUCCCCCAUUUCAGGUAAAGAGGGAAACCGGUGCACGCGCGCACCAACAUCAGCAUCUGAUGAAGUCCCCGAGAAGGGUGGAGAUGAACUGGCCUUUCUGAUCAAAGCACCCUCUAAUGCUCGAGGCUGGCCCCGCAUAGUUCCCCCCCUCUCCUUCUAUCUCUCACUCUUCCUCACACCUUUCUCAGAUUCAUCCCUCUGUCCCCUCAUCCUCCUCUUUCUCCUCUGUGUACGACUGACCCUGGUCCCUCAGAUGAGGUCACCAUCUCUCCCUCUCUCAUACCCAUCACUGACUCUCAUACUCUCAUCCCUCCCUCCAUCCCUCUCUCCUCUCCUAUUUAGAUGGAGGGGGCUUUGGUGA
rnacentral:lncRNA from 1 species